AUUUAAUUGUGAUCUUACGUCGAUUCACGUGAUUUCCAAUGACUGAAAUUGAUCGGUGGAUGCAACAGAGAAAGAAGCUAAAAGAAAAAGAAAAAAAUUCUAUUCAAUAUUUGCACGCUUCGAAACACUCACAUGUGUAUAGAGAUCUUGGUCGUUCGAAGGCAAGCUGGAUUGAGAUAGCAACGACAGGCAGCUAUUAAGGUCAACAACGGAUUUCAGGAAAAAUCGAUAGACCGGAUAGAACGACCCUCGAUGGAUAUCGGCCUGUUUAGAAUCAAGGGCUGCAUAGAAGAAGCGAACAAGAUCAGCCUGCUGUGAAGUGUCAAAAACUGCUCGUGGCUAGCAGCCAAUAAAGCAACAAAAGGGAGAAAGCUGGAAAUAGCUCGGCUACCAGAAAACAAUAAAGCAGUUGAGGCAUUAUGCAAUGAAAAUCUCGUUUUACUUAAACAGCAUUACCGAAAUCUUACAAUAUAGGCGGAUAAGUACGGAUAAACAUUGUAACCGAAGCGACUAAAAUCAUUGAAAUAAAAAAUAAAAUCUUUAAUUACCUUUCGGCAAAAUAUUCCCUUUAAAUUGAAUUCCAAUCGAUAAAGUAUAUUUUAAUUUGUUUUUAGAUUUAAAAGUAAAGAUUUAACUUUCAGUCUAUUAUUUCCCCUCUACGUACAUAAACGUUGCACAAGACGUUAAAUAAUUACAAAGCUAAGGAAAAUGAAAUGGCUCAAGUUUCUAAUAAAAAUGUUUAUUGCAUUAGUUUGAUGAUUGAAAUUUUUAUAACGUAACUGUAGCAACGUUUUAUAUGUAUUUAUUACGUCAAAGAAACAUACAUUUUAGA
rnacentral:misc_RNA from 1 species